GACGAACGCUGGCGGCAGGCUUAACACAUGCAAGUCGAACGCAUCCUUCGGGGUGAGUGGCAGACGGGUGAGUAACGCGUGGGAACGUGCCCUUCAGUUCGGGAUAACCCAGGGAAACUUGGGCUAAUACCGGAUACGUGCGAGAGCAGAAAGAUUUAUCGCUGAAGGAUCGGCCCGCGUCUGAUUAGCUAGUUGGUGGGGUAAUGGCCCACCAAGGCGACGAUCAGUAGCUGGUCUGAGAGGAUGAUCAGCCACAUUGGGACUGAGACACGGCCCAAACUCCUACGGGAGGGAGCAGUGGGGAAUAAUGGACAAGGGGCGCAAGCCUGAUCCAGCCAUGCCGCGUGAGUGAUGAAGGCCUUAGGGUUGUAAAGCUCUUUCGUCCGGGACGAUAAUGACGGUACCGGAAGAAGAAGCCCCGGCUAACUUCGUGCCAGCAGCCGCUGUAA
rnacentral:rRNA from 1 species